AGAGAGACUACUGACGAACCUCCAGAACUCUGCUGGAACCACAAAACUGAGCUCCGUGUUUCAGGCCUGGAACUUAGGAUGGAUCGUGUAGAGGUGAGAGAGGGUCGGAGCGUCACACUGAACUGCAGUACCAGCUGUCCUCUGCCUAACAACACAAUCUACACCUGGUACUUAAACAGUCAACCUCUGGACCAACCAGAGAACCCCAAAAUACUGAAACUAGACCAAGUCAGCAGUCAGGAUGCAGGAAACUACUCCUGUGCUGUCAAAAGCGGUACAAAAAACAUUACAUCUGGUGUAAAAACUCUGACUGUAAAUACUAAAAGGAAAAGGCAGCAGAAGCAGCAUCAGCGGCCGUAGCAGCAGCAGCUGCAGCAGGAGUCUGUGCUCUUCUCCUGGCUAUCACACUUCUGGUUGUCUUCUUUUGGAUUAGAAAACAGAGGGCUUCGGAUCAAUCUCCUAAAGAGGAAGCAACAGACAACACAGAGCAGCUAAACCCUGAUCCUGUGUAUGAAAACAUCUUAGCUCGACCAGCAGAGCAGGAAGGGCUUCACUAUAGCAGAGUCUACUUCUCUAGGAGCCAGGCAGAACCUCUUUACUCCACCGUCCAGCCACAUCAGCCCAAUCGACAGCAGCAUGUGGCUUAUUACACCAGCAUUGAGUGAUCAUCUCUUACCAUUACAACUGAUUCAGGAUCUACUUAGUGGCCUUACUCAUCUUGAUCAGUGGUAAUAUUUUCAACAACCAGCAUUUCAAGUUUUUUUUCCGCCCUCCAUUUCACUUCACUCCAUGCUAAUGUGGACCAGGAGUUCCUUAAAAGUACUGAGCCUCCCGAACAAAAGCUAAUCACUUUGAAAAAUUUGUCAGAAAAAAAGGCAAAGUGACUACUCAGCUAGCACGGAACAGUGCAUGUGCUAAAAAUCUGCACAACAAAGAAACAAUGUAAAAAGCGGCCUCAGUGACACCAUCACUGUUUGUUUCUACAAAACACCAAAUGACACAAUAUGUAUAUAUAUAUAUAUAUAUAUAGCCAAUCAUAUACAUCUGCAUACAUAUCUGCCAGUGCGGUAUUUACAUAUAAAUGGCUUUGGUAUAUUUGCGAAUGGUUUCAGGCUAAGUUGAUCUCUUCACUAAACAAGUUGCCAGAGUUUUGACCUCUUCAGACUUUUUUCUCUUCUCCAUACACCUUGGUAGUAGGAAGUUGAGCCAGAAUACAUACUCUGCUUCUACACAGCAACAACUUUUCAGUUUUGGACUUUUCACUGCAUCAUCCACGGAGAGCAGCUGGUGUCCAGAAAGCUGUAUUCAGACCACGUUAUGACAGGAUUUCUCACUUUGUGUACUUUUAAAUGAAAUGAUUUUGGAAGAGAAGCAUAAGGACCAUCCUGUGUUCCAUAACACCUACUGGAUUUUAGAUGUGUUGUGGAUUGUUGACAGACAGUUGGAAGGAUUUAAAACUCAUAUACAGGAAGCUAAUACGCUUGGGAGUGACGUAUGUAUUUGUGAAUGUAUUUUGUGUUUUGUAUUUACUGUUUAAUUGUUUAAAGGACCCCAUCAAAAAUGAGAUGAUUAAUCUCAAAGGGUUAUCCUACUAAUAAAUACAUCUAAAUACAUCUAAUAAUUCCAUGUUGUAAAGGUGAAAAGCAGCCGAUUGUGUACAUUGAUACUGUCAAUGCUGAAUCAUCACAGUUUUAAAGCAAUGUUAGUGUCAGGUUAAGUUGCUUCUCAGGGGCUGAUUGAACAGACUGACCACACCUGCUCUAUUGUACAGAUAACUUGAAAUGAGGUCGUAAAUAGAUUGAGUAAUGGCACUGCCAAAUGUAACGUGGCUUUGUCAGGUAAGCUCAUUGAAGCGUUUUUGUUUUCUGCUAUGUUGUAUUGCUAUUGAUUUUAUUUGUAACUGUAAAAAAGGUUUUUGUAACAUGUUCUACCCUGCAUUAUCUAAAGUGUAUUAAAACAUACUAGAUAUUA